GACGAACGCUGGCGGCGUGCUUAACACAUGCAAGUCGAACGGAAAGGCCCUGCUUUUGUGGGGUGCUCGAGUGGCGAACGGGUGAGUAACACGUGAGUAACCUGCCCUUGACUUUGGGAUAACUUCAGGAAACUGGGGCUAAUACCGGAUAGGAGCUCCUGCUGCAUGGUGGGGGUUGGAAAGUUUCGGCGGUUGGGGAUGGACUCGCGGCUUAUCAGCUUGUUGGUGGGGUAGUGGCUUACCAAGGCUUUGACGGGUAGCCGGCCUGAGAGGGUGACCGGCCACAUUGGGACUGAGAGACGGCCCAGACUCCUACGGGAGGCAGCAGUGGGGAAUAUUGCACAAUGGGCGGAAGCCUGAUGCAGCAACGCCGCGUGCGGGAUGACGGCCUUCGGGUUGUAACCCGCUUUCGCCUGUGACGAAGCGUGAGUGACGGUAAUGGGUAAAGAAGCACCGGCUAACUACGUG
rnacentral:rRNA from 1 species